UAUUGGCCAGUCUCUGCACCACCGGAGUCUUUUACUAGUUUGUUAACAUUUUGAACUCGCGUUCUUAUUUUCGCUCUAAACACGAUAAUUACUGUAUGUCUGGCAACGCUGAUAGAUGCUGGCAAGCAGAGGCAGAGAAGCAUCUCCUACAACUGCAGGGUUUCCUUUGGUUAAAGAAAUCUGUCUCUGCCUUUAAGUUUGUUUAGGUUUGUUCCGUGUAAUUCUAAUUUAAACUAUUGGUUGAUUACGAUUUUUGUUUCAGGUGCCCAACCAACCUUCUUAUCAAGCCUCUCUUCCACCGCUACCACCUCUUAGCAAGCCUCUGGUGGGACGGGUUCAUCCUCUGUGCUGAGACUUAAUUAUGAUAUGCCACAGCAACGUCAGCCCCAAGUAUUGGCUGAGGUGGAGUCAACUUUAGCAGCAGUGAUGCAGCAUCAUAAUGCACAAGACUGCGCCCUACAGAACCUUGCAGCGCAGAUGAAGGCACUCCCUAAAGUUGUGGGCCGUGAGCUGCCACCUACUCGGGAUUUGCUGGUGAUAGAAGGGACGUGGAUCUACUCUGCAGCUUGCAUUAUUACACGCCAAGUGUGUGUUUCACUGUUUGAUAAUGGAAGGGAACAAACUCAAUACUUGGUGGAGAAAACAUUGGCUGCAAUACAUCUGAAUCUGAACUGUGAUAAAGAAAAAUAACGUGACAGCGGAUGAAGUUUGUUCCUGAGAACAGGAAAAAAAAAAAAAACAGUUGUGAUUCUGAUGUUGGUAAUAACAUGAGAUGUAUUCAUUAGGUAAUACUACAGAAAAUGUCUUAUUACCAAUAUGUUUCUUCAUAGUGUGAAUUUGAGGUUUGACUUGGAGUUUUGACAUGCUGCAUUUUUUCACGCAGUCACUUUGGUUUUGACAUUAAUUUGUCGAUUUGAUUCUGCUUCAAACAAAA
rnacentral:lncRNA from 1 species